rnacentral:lncRNA from 1 species
UAGGAUAUCGCAUCCUAUGCCUACGUAUCUCGUCUGGAACGAGAAUCAGAGCUACCGUAGUUCGGCUCACGCACGCCAAACAAAACAAACACACAAGCAGGCAAACAUGGAACCCGAACGCCAAUCGCUGGACUUACAUCAGCUUCCGAACCAAACAAACCCACACUGGAAACCAGAUGCCACUUGAUGGACUUAUACC